rnacentral:rRNA from 1 species
AACGAACGCUGGCGGCAGGCUUAACACAUGCAAGUCGAACGCAUCCUUCGGGGUGAGUGGCAGACGGGUGAGUAACGCGUGGGAACGUGCCCUUCAGUUCGGGAUAACCCAGGGAAACUUGGGCUAAUACCGGAUACGUGCGAGAGCAGAAAGAUUUAUCGCUGAAGGAUCGGCCCGCGUCUGAUUAGCUAGUUGGUGGGGUGAUGGCCCACCAAGGCGACGAUCAGUAGCUGGUCUGAGAGGAUGAUCAGCCACAUUGGGACUGAGACACGGCCCAAACUCCUACGGGAGGCAGCAGUGGGGAAUAUUGGACAAUGGGCGCAAGCCUGAUCCAGCCAUGCCGCGUGAGUGAUGAAGGCCUUAGGGUUGUAAAGCACUUUCGUCCGGGACGAUAAUGACGGUACCGGAAGAAGAAGCCCCGGCUAACUUCGUGCCAGCCGCCGCAGUAA